rnacentral:rRNA from 1 species
AUUGAACGCUGGCGGCAGGCUUAACACAUGCAAGUCGAGCGGGGUGAUGGUGCUUGCACUAUCACUUAGCGGCGGACGGGUGAGUAAUGCUUAGGAAUCUGCCUAUUAGUGGGGGACAACAUCUCGAAAGGGAUGCUAAUGCCGCAUACGUCCUACGGGAGAAAGCAGGGGAUCACUUGUGACCUUGCGCUAAUAUAUGAGCCUAAGUCGGAUUAGCUAGUUGGUGGGGUAAAGGCCUACCAAGGCGACGAUCUGUAGCGGGUCUGAGAGGAUGAUCCGCCACACUGGGACUGAGACACGGCCCAGACUCCUACGGGAGGCAGCAGUGGGGAAUAUUGGACAAUGGGGGGAACCCUGAUCCAGCCAUGCCGCGUGUGUGAAGAAGGCCUUAUGGUUGUAAAGCACUUUAAGCGAGGAGGAGGCUCUUUUGGUUAAUACCCAAGAUGAGUGGACGUUACUCGCAGAAUAAGCACCGGCUAACUCUGUGCCAGCAGCCGCCGCAG